UCUCUGAUAGUAUAUUGGCUAGUUAUAUAGCUAGUACACCCGCCUGUCAAGGUGAUCUAAUGGUCACAGCACGGGCGUGAGAUGCGCGGGAGAGCUGGGUUCAAUUCCCAGUCAGAGAG